rnacentral:rRNA from 1 species
UACGAAGGGGGCUAGCGUUGCUCGGAAUCACUGGGCGUAAAGCGCACGCAGGCGGUCGUUCAAGUCGCGUGUGAAAGCCCCCGGCUCAACUGGGGAGGGUCACGCGAUACUGAUCGACUCGAAGGCAGGAGAGGGAAGUGGAAUUCCCGGUGUAGUGGUGAAAUGCGUAGAUAUCGGGAGGAACACCAGUGGCGAAGGCGACUUCCUGGCCUGUUCUUGACGCUGAGGCGCGAAAGCUAGGGGAGCAAACGGG